CGGAGGCGGGCCACGGGGCAUGUCAACAACCUCAAAGGCCUUGUUCUCUCAGGGAUGGAUGUGAGGCUGAGAAAACAAAGGCCUGACAGAGAGUCUCCAACAGCCCUGCCCGGCCCGGAGAGGAGAUGUGUCCGCCCCAGGUCACAGACAGGGAAACUGGGGCUCCAUGGGCAGCAGCUGGUGCGCAGCACAGCCAGGCAAGCCCUGGCAGCCCAGAGCCUGACCCGGGGAGUCUGGGGUCAGGACCCCCAUGCACGAGCGGCCGUCUUGUGGGCUCCGGGAGGGGCCCUGACCAUCAGUCUGCCAGAGGAGGAGGAAGAGGCGAAAGAGGAAGAAGCCCAGAGCGGCUCUCCUGGGUAGCCAGGCAGAAUUCCUGGCUGCAGGGCUCAGGCCCGAGGACCUGCAAGGUUCCUUCCCUCCCAGGCUUGGCUCACCUCUCCAGCGGACGGCACUUCACUCUCU